AUACGUAGGGGGCGAGCGUUGUCCGGAAUGAUUGGGCGUAAAGGGCGCGUAGGCGGCCCGGUAAGUCUGGAGUGAAAGUCCUGUUUUUAAGAUGGGAAUUGCUUUGGAUACUGUCGGGCUUGAGUGCAGGAGAGGUAAGUGGAAUUCCCAGUGUAGCGGUGAAAUGCGUAGAGAUUGGGAGGAACACCAGUGGCGAAGGCGACUUACUGGGCCGUAACUGACGCUGAGGCGCGAAAGCGUGGGGAGCGAACAGGAUUAGAUACCCUGGUAGUCCACGCGGUGAACGAUGAAUGCUAGGUGUUGCGGGUAUCGACCCCUGCAGUGCCGGAGUAAACACAAUAAGCAUUCCGCCUGGGGAGUACGGCCGCAAGGUUGAAACUCAAAUGAAUUGACGGGG
rnacentral:rRNA from 1 species